CGAAAUUUACGUGCGGUUGAUUUGACCACGGAGAUCGAAGUUACGGCUGGCUUGACCGCAGUCUGAGUUGAAGCCUGCAGACUGAAGGCAGUGGCAGACAUGGCGUGUCCUUUUCUUGAAGAGCCAGUUGAUGUCGAGGCGCAGAUACUCCGCAGAAAUCUCCAUCGGGAGAGGAUUAUUGGACCCCGAUUGGAAGUUUUAUCAUUCCCUGAUGAGUACCUGUUUGAGCGUUUCCUUUUCUCUGCAUCAUCAAUAAUUUAUCUAAACAAUAUUCUCAGUCCUCACAUCAUACACAUGACACAUCAUGGACACGCUCUCAGUUCCGAGCAAAUUCUUUGUAUUGCACUUCGUUUUUUUGUAUAACAUCGGUGAUGCAGAGCAUGUGUCCAAGGCAACUGUCUGUCGGGCUGUCCGAAAUGUGACACUUGCACUGAAACGGCUACUAUAGCCUACAUGUUUGUAGUGUUCCCAAGUCACAGACCCACCAGACUUCUCAAAGAAGAGUUCCACAGAAUUGCAGGUAUCAGUCUAAGCAAUAAUUAGUUUGUCAUAAAGCUUUGAGACUUGAAGCACUAAUCAGUCAAUUUGAUAUAUUUUAGGGUUUCCAGGUGUGAUUGGCUGCAUAGAUGGCACUCAUAUUCCUAUCAUAGCUCCUUCAAUAAAUGAAGGAGAUUAUGUGAAUAGGAGAUCUGUCCACAGCAUUAAUGUACAGGUAGGCCUAAAUAGUAUAAUAAUGAAAUAUACUUCACUAUACAGCUAAUUACUGUUCUCCACUGUGAAGAUCAUAUGU